GCGGGUGUAGCUCAGGGGUAGAGCAUUACCUUGCCAAGGUAAGGGUCGAGGGUUCGAAUCCCUUCACCCGCUCCA
rnacentral:tRNA from 1 species